rnacentral:rRNA from 2 species
GGGUUGUGAGGUUAAGCGACUAAGCGUACACGGUGGAUGCCCUGGCAGUCAGAGGCGAUGAAGGACGUGCUAAUCUGCGAUAAGCGUCGGUAAGGUGAUAUGAACCGUUAUAACCGGCGAUUUCCGAAUGGGGAAACCCAGUGUGUUUCGACACACUAUCAUUAACUGAAUCCAUAGGUUAAUGAGGCGAACCGGGGGAACUGAAACAUCUAAGUACCCCGAGGAAAAGAAAUCAACCGAGAUUCCCCCAGUAGCGGCGAGCGAACGGGGAGCAGCCCAGAGCCUGAAUCAGUAUGUGUGUUAGUGGAAGCGUCUGGAAAGGCGCGCGAUACAGGGUGACAGCCCCGUACACAAAAAUGCACAUGCUGUGAGCUCGAUGAGUAGGGCGGGACACGUGGUAUCCUGUCUGAAUAUGGGGGGACCAUCCUCCAAGGCUAAAUACUCCUGACUGACCGAUAGUGAACCAGUACCGUGAGGGAAAGGCGAAAAGAACCCCGGCGAGGGGAGUGAAAAAGAACCUGAAACCGUGUACGUACAAGCAGUGGGAGCACGCUUAGGCGUGUGACUGCGUACCUUUUGUAUAAUGGGUCAGCGACUUAUAUUCUGUAGCAAGGUUAACCGAAUAGGGGAGCCGAAGGGAAACCGAGUCUUAACUGGGCGUUAAGUUGCAGGGUAUAGACCCGAAACCCGGUGAUCUAGCCAUGGGCAGGUUGAAGGUUGGGUAACACUAACUGGAGGACCGAACCGACUAAUGUUGAAAAAUUAGCGGAUGACUUGUGGCUGGGGGUGAAAGGCCAAUCAAACCGGGAGAUAGCUGGUUCUCCCCGAAAGCUAUUUAGGUAGCGCCUCGUGAAUUCAUCUCCGGGGGUAGAGCACUGUUUCGGCAAGGGGGUCAUCCCGACUUACCAACCCGAUGCAAACUGCGAAUACCGGAGAAUGUUAUCACGGGAGACACACGGCGGGUGCUAACGUCCGUCGUGAAGAGGGAAACAACCCAGACCGCCAGCUAAGGUCCCAAAGUCAUGGUUAAGUGGGAAACGAUGUGGGAAGGCCCAGACAGCCAGGAUGUUGGCUUAGAAGCAGCCAUCAUUUAAAGAAAGCGUAAUAGCUCACUGGUCGAGUCGGCCUGCGCGGAAGAUGUAACGGGGCUAAACCAUGCACCGAAGCUGCGGCAGCGACGCUGAUGCGUUGUUGGGUAGGGGAGCGUUCUGUAAGCCUGUGAAGGUGUGCUGUGAGGCAUGCUGGAGGUAUCAGAAGUGCGAAUGCUGACAUAAGUAACGAUAAAGCGGGUGAAAAGCCCGCUCGCCGGAAGACCAAGGGUUCCUGUCCAACGUUAAUCGGGGCAGGGUGAGUCGACCCCUAAGGCGAGGCCGAAAGGCGUAGUCGAUGGGAAACAGGUUAAUAUUCCUGUACUUGGUGUUACUGCGAAGGGGGGACGGAGAAGGCUAUGUUGGCCGGGCGACGGUUGUCCCGGUUUAAGCGUGUAGGCUGGUUUUCCAGGCAAAUCCGGAAAAUCAAGGCUGAGGCGUGAUGACGAGGCACUACGGUGCUGAAGCAACAAAUGCCCUGCUUCCAGGAAAAGCCUCUAAGCAUCAGGUAACAUCAAAUCGUACCCCAAACCGACACAGGUGGUCAGGUAGAGAAUACCAAGGCGCUUGAGAGAACUCGGGUGAAGGAACUAGGCAAAAUGGUGCCGUAACUUCGGGAGAAGGCACGCUGAUAUGUAGGUGAAGUCCCUCGCGGAUGGAGCUGAAAUCAGUCGAAGAUACCAGCUGGCUGCAACUGUUUAUUAAAAACACAGCACUGUGCAAACACGAAAGUGGACGUAUACGGUGUGACGCCUGCCCGGUGCCGGAAGGUUAAUUGAUGGGGUUAGCGCAAGCGAAGCUCUUGAUCGAAGCCCCGGUAAACGGCGGCCGUAACUAUAACGGUCCUAAGGUAGCGAAAUUCCUUGUCGGGUAAGUUCCGACCUGCACGAAUGGCGUAAUGAUGGCCAGGCUGUCUCCACCCGAGACUCAGUGAAAUUGAACUCGCUGUGAAGAUGCAGUGUACCCGCGGCAAGACGGAAAGACCCCGUGAACCUUUACUAUAGCUUGACACUGAACAUUGAGCCUUGAUGUGUAGGAUAGGUGGGAGGCUUUGAAGUGUGGACGCCAGUCUGCAUGGAGCCGACCUUGAAAUACCACCCUUUAAUGUUUGAUGUUCUAACGUUGACCCGUAAUCCGGGUUGCGGACAGUGUCUGGUGGGUAGUUUGACUGGGGCGGUCUCCUCCUAAAGAGUAACGGAGGAGCACGAAGGUUGGCUAAUCCUGGUCGGACAUCAGGAGGUUAGUGCAAUGGCAUAAGCCAGCUUGACUGCGAGCGUGACGGCGCGAGCAGGUGCGAAAGCAGGUCAUAGUGAUCCGGUGGUUCUGAAUGGAAGGGCCAUCGCUCAACGGAUAAAAGGUACUCCGGGGAUAACAGGCUGAUACCGCCCAAGAGUUCAUAUCGACGGCGGUGUUUGGCACCUCGAUGUCGGCUCAUCACAUCCUGGGGCUGAAGUAGGUCCCAAGGGUAUGGCUGUUCGCCAUUUAAAGUGGUACGCGAGCUGGGUUUAGAACGUCGUGAGACAGUUCGGUCCCUAUCUGCCGUGGGCGCUGGAGAACUGAGGGGGGCUGCUCCUAGUACGAGAGGACCGGAGUGGACGCAUCACUGGUGUUCGGGUUGUCAUGCCAAUGGCACUGCCCGGUAGCUAAAUGCGGAAGAGAUAAGUGCUGAAAGCAUCUAAGCACGAAACUUGCCCCGAGAUGAGUUCUCCCUGACUCCUUGAGAGUCCUGAAGGAACGUUGAAGACGACGACGUUGAUAGGCCGGGUGUGUAAGCGCAGCGAUGCGUUGAGCUAACCGGUACUAAUGAACCGUGAGGCUUAACCUUACAACGCCGAAGGUGUUU